rnacentral:rRNA from 1 species
UACGUAGGGUGCAAGCGUUGUCCGGAAUUAUUGGGCGUAAAGAGCUCGUAGGCGGUCUGUCGCGUCGGCUGUGAAAACUCGGGGCUCACCCGAGCCUGCAGUCGAUACGGGCAGACUAGAGUGCUGUAGGGGAGACUGGAAUUCCUGGUGUAGCGGUGAAAUGCGCAGAUAUCAGGAGGAACACCGGUGGCGAAGGCGGGUCUCUGGGCAGUAACUGACGCUGAGGAGCGAAAGCGUGGGGAGCGAACAGG